GAUGAACGCUGGCGGCGUGCCUAAUACAUGCGAGUCGAGCGAACAGAUAAGGAGCUUGCUCCUUUGACGUUAGCGGCGGACGGGUGAGUAACACGUGGGUAACCUAUCUAUAAGACUGGAAUAACUCCGGGAAACCGGGGCUAAUGCCGGAUAACAUGUUGAACCGCAUGGUUCUACAGUGAAAGGCGGCUUUGCUGUCACUUAUAGAUGGACCCGCGCCGUAUUAGCUAGUUGGUGAGGUAACGGCUCACCAAGGCAACGAUACGUAGCCGACCUGAGAGGGUGAUCGGCCACACUGGAACUGAGACACGGUCCAGACUCCUACGGGAGGCAGCAGUGGGGAAUCUUCGGCAAUGGGCGAAAGCCUGACGGAGCAACGCCGCGUGAGUGAUGAAGGUCUUCGGAUCGUAAAACUCUGUUAUUAGGGAAGAACAAAUGCGUAAGUAACUGUGCGCGUCUUGACGGUACCUAAUCAGAAAGCAACGGCUAACUACGUG
rnacentral:rRNA from 1 species